GGGCAACGCGCGCUCACACAGGCCACCGCUCGGGUGAAAAGGUGGGCAGGCACCAGGCGGCGAUGAUGUCGGCGUCUGAUCGGGAGCGACCGUUGCAAAAGCCUUGCGAUGUGCCCGAGGCCGGCUCGCGGCACGUCCCAUAGCACACGGCCGAGCAGGCCUUGGUCCACGGCGAACCCUGGAGGGCCAUCCCAAUAUGCCUCACGCACUCGAAACUGCCGCCGUGGCCUAUCAUGGAACAAAAGAGCGCGAGCGUGUCGCGCAUUGCCUUGCGCUCCAUGCCGAGGGCAUCGCACCAGAUUUCGAUGGCGUCGAUCAAAAUCAUGGCAUCGGGCGUGAGGUCCCACCCGGUCACGCACGAGACAAAGGCGUCGCGCACAAGAGGCACGCCGUGGCCAGAUUCCCAGAGCAGCCGGGGCCAACGGGCCAGCGCAAAGGCCACGCGUGCGACACAGCACUCGGGCUUUUUGUGACGAUCUUGCUCAAUGCAUGCACAGGCGAGCGCGGCCAUAUCUUUGGCGGUGGGCGUAUAGGCCAGUACGUCGCACAGCCAUGCCGCGGCGCGCGCCAUGCCCGCGAGGUGGCCCACGCCCGACCUCGACUGGCGCGCGCUGCGCCCAGUCCCAAGAGGGCUCAGGGCGCGACAUACGAGGUCAGUGGCGGUCAAUCCGGUGGCGUCGAAAAGGGCACUCGCCGAGACCUGCUCGUGGUCUCGCGCGUCCAGUGUCCACAUGAUCAGAGCCACGUCGUCGUCACGAAUGGCAGCGAGCACGAUGGCCUUGCGAUGCUCGGGCGUGAUCACAUCGGUAGGGAUCACAUCCAUGACGCGAGAGGCCGACGGCACCACGCCCAUGUCUUCGGCAUAGUAUCUGCCCUCGGCCCACAAGGUUAUGCCCUCUGCGAGAAGGCGGUGCGCACUCUCUGGAUUCAGGCUGUUGAUCUCUAGAUGAUGGCGUAUGCAGUUAGCGGCGCCAUGGGCAAUGGCGUAUGCAGUGCCGUUCAAGCGUGCAUAGUCCCUGCCUGUGAUCCGCGCCACGUCGGCACGGUCAAAGGCAACGAUGCUCAUGUGAAAGGAGGAGCGCCACAGCCCGCGACGCUCGGGGAGCCUGUAGCCGUCAAUGUCGCCCUCGAUCACCCAGUCGUCAUCGUCUGCGAGAGAGCAUCUCGGUACGAUGUUGGGGUCGCCGUCUGGGUAAAGUGCGUCGAUCGUGCCGACGACGGCCUCAAAGACAUUGACCGAGCAGCGGCGCACGGCGACGUCGAGCAUGGCAUAGGCUAGUUCUUGGCCGUCGGGCAGCCAUCCCGCGCUGCAGGGACGCAGGGAGCGCGCGGGCCGGGCCGGCACGGCUGGUAUGGGCGCGAACGAGGCGCUCGUCAUCGGGUCGAGCGCAUAGGCCACGGUGUCCGACCUGCCUGUGGCCAAGAAGACGACGUGGGCCUGGGCACGCGAGGCGCCCCACUCGGCGACCAUGCGCUCGGCCAUGGCGUCGGCAUACUGCCCAGUCAGGUCCAUGGGCGCAUCGCGCAGCCAUUCGGCGACGGCCGACGCGCACACGAGCAUGCCACGGCGCCAUCGACGGCGGCGUGCGUGCGUCGUGUCAAAGUCCACAUAGUGGUCGCCGGCGCCGACCAUCGGAUAGCGAAAGAACCGCUGUGGAUCGCCGAGGGCGUCGCUGUCCCACGGGGUCGGGUGCUCGACAGCCGCGCGCAAGAGGCGGCACGCCAUGCGGGCCAUGGGCCGCCAACGUGGGUCCAUAAAGGCGCGGCCAUGGCGGUCGCGCCCAUUGACGAUCAGCGCCACCAGUUCAAUAGGCAACAAUGCCCACAAAGUGGAUCCAUCAUUGUUAUCGUUAUCGUUGGCAUCGGCGUCCUCUUGCAUCCUCGGUCGCGUGGUCGGUUCGAAAGCCUUGGCCUGGACCGCGUGUCUCUCUUGUGUGUUUUUUUUCACGCCGCGGCGGGUCCCUUUGUGCGCGCUGCAGCCCCAAUAGGUCGGCCUAUUGGCACUCUCUGGGUCUGCUCGCCAACCCGAAAAAAGAAAAUGGGAAAUAAAGAUUGCAUGGCGCCCGCUCAUCGCGCCCGCAAAGAAUUUUUACGCCCA
rnacentral:lncRNA from 1 species